rnacentral:lncRNA from 1 species
CUCAGUGCUGCCCGUCACAAAUGGUGACACUCAGCACAGUUCACUUGUUUUGCCUUCCCAGCAGCCUCAUGGAGUAGCUCCUAAUAGCUCUGCUUUAUAGGUGAGGGUGAGGGGAGGCCCACAGUCCCACAGGCCUGCCUCCAGUGAAGGGGCUCAUGAGCCCCCCAUGUCCUGGUGGCCUCUGCAAUUCCCGGAAGACACCAGGGCUGUUAAGCCACGGGGCUCUGGAGUCAGCGGCCUGGGCUGACGUGCCAGCUAGCUCUGGAUCUCUGACACGGGCACCCUUCUGCUGAGUGGAGGCCAUCACAGCGCCUGUUUCUCAGGACCGUCAGCGCUUUAACCAGGAUAAUGCAGAGAAAGUAUCUUGCCUGGGGCCCGGCCCGCAAGAGUCUUGGAAGACACUGGGUGCCAUCGCUACCCCUCCGGGCCACACGCUGAUGUCCUGAAAUGGAGAGGCGCUGGUACUCAAGGCGCAUGAGGCGG